rnacentral:rRNA from 1 species
GCGACCGGCGCACGGGUGAGUAACACGUAUCCAACCUACCAUCCUUCUCGGGGAUAGCCUUUCGAAAGAAAGAUUAAUACCCGACAUUCUAGGAAUAAAGCAUUUUAUUUUUAGUAAAGAAUUUCGGUGUUUGAUGGGGAUGCGCUCCAUUAGAUUGUUGGUGAGGUAACGGCUCACCAAGUCUUCGAUGGAUAGGGGUUCUGAGAGGAAGGUCCCCCACAUUGGAACUGAGACACGGUCCAAACUCCUACGGGAGGCAGCAGUGAGGAAUAUUGGUCAAUGGACGAGAGUCUGAACCAGCCAAGUAGCGUGAAGGACGAAGGCCCUACGGGUCGUAAACUUCUUUUAUAGGGGAAUAAAGUGGAGAACGUGUUCUCCUUUGUAUGUACCCUACGAAUAAGGAUCGGCUAACUCCGUGCCAGCAGCCGCGGUAAUACGGAGGAUUCAAGCGUUAUCCGGAUUUAUUGGGUUUAAAGGGAGCGUAGGUGGACGUAUAAGUCAGUUGUGAAAGUUUGCGGCUCAACCGUAAAAUUGCAGUUGAUACUGUAUGUCUUGAGUGUACAAGAGGUGGGCGGAAUUCGUGGUGUAGCGGUGAAAUGCUUAGAUAUCACGAAGAACUCCGAUUG